rnacentral:rRNA from 1 species
GAAUAGCUGAACUGCGGAGGACAUUAAUGAAAUUUAUGACUGGAGUUGUAGCUGGCCUUUAAAAACGGCAUGUGCACGCUCCUUUCACUAAUCCACACACACCUGUGCACCUUCGCGGGGGUCUCUUCGUUAACUCGAAGAGGCUCGCGUCCCUUUACACACCCUUUGUAUGUCUUAAGAAUGUCUACUCGAUGUAAUAAAACGCAUCUAAUACAACUUUCAACAACGGAUCUCUUGGCUCUCGCAUCGAUGAAGAACGCAGCGAAAUGCGAUAAGUAAUGUGAAUUGCAGAAUUCAGUGAAUCAUCGAAUCUUUGAACGCACCUUGCGCCCUUUGGUAUUCCGAAGGGCACACCUGUUUGAGUGUCGUGAAAUUCUCAACCCUCUUCACUUUUGUGAACGUAGUGGAUUGGACUUGGAGGCUUUGCCGGGCUUCACCGCUCGGCUCCUCUCAAAUGCAUUAGUGCGUCUUGUUGCGACGUGCGCCUCGGUGUGAUAAUUAUCUACGCUGUGGUGUGCUUGCUUCUGUGGAGACGCGCUUUCUAACCGUCCGAAAGGACAGCUUUCAUCGAACUUUGACCUCAAAUCAGGUGGGACUACCCGCUGAACUUAAGCAUAUCAAUAAGGCGGGAGGAAUUA